AGAGUUUGAUCCUGGCUCAGAUUGAACGCUGGCGGCGUGCUUAACACAUGCAAGUCGAACGCGAAAGGGGGCUUCGGCUCCCGAGUAGAGUGGCGCACGGGUGAGUAACGCGUGGAUAAUCUGCCGUAUACCGGGGGAUAACACUUAGAAAUAGGUGCUAAUACCGCAUAAGCGCACAGCUUCGCAUGAAGCAGUGUGAAAAACUCCGGUGGUAUACGAUGGUUCCGCGUCUGAUUAGCUAGUUGGCGGGGUAACGGCCCACCAAGGCAGCGAUCAGUAGCCGGCCUGAGAGGGUGAACGGCCACAUUGGGACUGAGACACGGCCCAAACUCCUACGGGAGGCAGCAGUGGGGAAUACUGCACAAUGGGGGAAACCCUGAUGCAGCGACGCCGCGUGAGUGAAGAAGUAUUUCGGUACGUAAAGCUCUAUCAGCAGGGAAGAAAAUGACGGUACCUGACUAAGAAGCCCCGGCUAACUACGUGCCAGCAGCCGCGGUAAUACGUAGGGGGCAAGCGUUAUCCGGAUUUACUGGGUGUAAAGGGAGCGUAGACGGCAGCGCAAGUCUGGAGUGAAAUGCCGGGGCCCAACCCCGGAACUGCUUUGGAAACUGUGCAGCUUGAGUGCGGGAGAGGUAAGUGGAAUUCCUAGUGUAGCGGUGAAAUGCGUAGAUAUUAGGAGGAACACCAGUGGCGAAGGCGGCUUACUGGACCGUAACUGACGUUGAGGCUCGAGAGCGUGGGGAGCAAACAGGAUUAGAUGCCCUGGUAGUCCAUGCCGUAAACGAUGAGUGCUAAGUGUGGGGAAGGUUUCCGCCUCUCAGUGUUGCAGGUAACGCAUUAAGCACUCCGCCUGGGGAGUACGACCGCAAGGUUGAAACUCAAAGGAAUUUGACGGGGGGCCCGCACAAGCGGUGGAGCAUGUGGUUUAAUUCGAAGCAACGCGAAGAACCUUACCAGGUCUUGACAUCUAGUUCCAUCCUAAGAGAUUAGGAGUUCCCUUCGGGGACACUAAGACAGGUGGUGCAUGGCUGUCGUCAGCUCGUGUCGUGAGAUGUUGGGUUAAGUCCCGCAACGAGCGCAACCCUUGUUAUUAGUUGCCAGCAUUAAGUUGGGCACUCUAAUGAGACUGCCGGUGACAAACCGGAGGAAGGUGGGGAUGACGUCAAGUCAUCAUGCCCCUUAUGACCUGGGCUACACACGUGCUACAAUGGGCAGUACAACGAGAAGCGAGCCUGCGAAGGCAAGCGGAUCUCUUAAAGCUGUUCUCAGUUCGGACUGCAGUCUGCAACUCGACUGCACGAAGCUGGAAUCGCUAGUAAUCGCGGAUCAGCACGCCGCGGUGAAUACGUUCCCGGGCCUUGCACACACCGCCCGUCA
rnacentral:rRNA from 1 species